rnacentral:rRNA from 1 species
ACGAACGCUGGCGGCAUGCCUAACACAUGCAAGUCGCACGAGACCUUCGGGUCUAGUGGCGCACGGGUGCGUAACGCGUGGGAACCUGCCCUUAGGUUCGGAAUAACUCCCCGAAAGGGGUGCUAAUACCGGAUAAUGUCUUCGGACCAAAGAUUUAUCGCCUUUGGAUGGGCCCGCGUUGGAUUAGCUAGUUGGUAGGGUAAAAGCCUACCAAGGCGACGAUCCAUAGCUGGUCUGAGUGGAUGAUCAGCCACACUGGGACUGAGACACGGCCCAGACUCCUACGGGAGGCAGCAGUGGGGAAUAUUGGACAAUGGGCGAAAGCCUGAUCCAGCAAUGCCGCGUGAGUGAUGAAGGCCUUAGGGUUGUAAAGCUCUUUUACCCGGGAUGAUAAUGACAGUACCGGGAGAAUAAGCUCCGGCUAACUCCGUG